rnacentral:rRNA from 1 species
UACGUAGGGUGCAAGCGUUAAUCGGAAUUACUGGGCGUAAAGCGUGCGCAGGCGGUUAUGCAAGACAGAUGUGAAAUCCCCGGGCUCAACCUGGGAACUGCAUUUGUGACUGCAUGGCUAGAGUACGGUAGAGGGGGAUGGAAUUCCGCGUGUAGCAGUGAAAUGCGUAGAUAUGCGGAGGAACACCGAUGGCGAAGGCAAUCCCCUGGACCUGUACUGACGCUCAUGCACGAAAGCGUGGGGAGCAAACAGG